GGCAGUAUAGCCAAGUGGUAAGGCAAAGGUCUGCAAAACCUUGAACCCCAGUUCAAAUCUGGGUACUGCCUUCA
rnacentral:tRNA from 1 species